AUGAUCAUGAGGUGCAAUAUUAAUAGUAGUCCGGCCAUGAAGGGUUUUGCUGCUAGGCUUGUUAUGAUCUCCAUGCAGGUGUGGUCGCUCAGUGCGGCCGCCGCCGCCGGACCGAGUAGCAAGAUGGUAAGGCUGGUGCCGGCGAUGUACGUGUUGGGCGACUCGACGCUGGAUGUCGGCAACAACAACUACCUGGCGGGGCCGAACGUGCCCAGGGCCAACAUGCCCCUCAACGGCGUCGACUUGCCCGGCGGCGCCCGGGCAACGGGGCGGUUCAGCAACGGCUACAACGUCGCCGACUUCAUCGCAAUGAAACUGGGACUGAAGGAGAGUCCGCCGGCGUAUCUGUCGCUGGCGCCACGCCCCACCGCCUUGGUCCUCAGCGCUCUCGCCGCCGGCGUGAGCUAUGCUUCUGCCGGAGCCGGCAUCCUGGACUCCACUAACGCCGGGAACAACAUCCCGCUGUCGAAGCAGGUGCGCUACUUUGGGUCAACCAAGGCGGCAAUGGAGGCCAGGGUGGGCGGCGCCGCGGCCCGCGUCCUGCUCUCGAGGUCAUUCUUCCUCUUCAGCGUCGGCAGCAACGACCUCUUCGUGUUCGCGGCGGCGCAGCCAACAGCGGGCGACGUCGCCGCGCUCUACGCCAGCCUCAUCUCCGGGUACUCCGCCGCCAUCACGGACCUGUAUGGCAUGGGCGCGAGGAAGUUCGGGGUCAUCAACGUGGGGCUGCUGGGCUGCGUGCCGGCGGUGCGGGCGCUGAGCGCGACGGGCGGGUGCAACGACGGCCUCAACCUCCUGUCGGCCGGGUUCGACGGCGCGCUGAGGUCCCUCCUGGCCGGCCUCGCCGCCCGGCUGCCGGGCCUCGCCUACUCCCUCGCCGACUCCUACAACCUCACGCAAGUCACCUUCGCCAACCCAGCAGCAUCCGGGUACGUGAGCAUAGACAGCGCGUGCUGCGGGAGCGGGAGGCUGGGAGCGGAGACCGACUGCCUGCCUAACUCCACGCUGUGCGCCGACCACGACCGCUUCGUCUUCUGGGACCGAACGCAUCCUUCGCAGCGGGCCGGCGAGCUCAGCGCCGCCGCCUACUUCGACGGAGCCGCCGGCUUCACCGCGCCCAUCAGCUUCCACCAGCUGGCCCGCAAGAUUUAG
rnacentral:rRNA from 1 species